UAGGGAAUCUUCCACAAUGGGCGCAAGCCUGAUGGAGCAACGCCGCGUGAGUGAAGAAGGUCUUCGGAUCGUAAACUCUGUUGUUAGAGAAGAACACGCGAGAGAGUAACUGUUCUUGUAUUGACGGUAUCUAACCAGAAAGCCACGGCUAACUACGUGCCG
rnacentral:rRNA from 1 species